rnacentral:tRNA from 1 species
CCUGGCCCCUGGGGGGGCUAGUCCCGUUCGGUCCCGGCGGAUCAGGACCGGACGGGCCCUAGUCCCGGCGGAUCGUGAUCGUCGUCCAGGC